rnacentral:rRNA from 1 species
UACGUAGGGUGCAAGCGUUUAAUCGGAAUUACUGGGCGUAAAGCGUGCGCAGGCGGUUUUGUAAGACUGUCGUGAAAUCCCCGGGCUCAACCUGGGAAUGGCGAUGGUGACUGCAAGGCUAGAGUUUGGCAGAGGGGGGGUAGAAUUCCACGUGUAGCAGUGAAAUGCGUAGAUAUGUGGAGGAACACCGAUGGCGAAGGCAGCCCCCCUGGGUCAAAACUGACGCUCAUGCACGAAAGCGUGGGGAGCAAACAGG